rnacentral:tRNA from 1 species
GGGCCUGUAACUCAAAGGAGUAGAGUACGUUGCUACGAACCACAGUAUUGUCGAGGGUUCGAAUCUCUCUUCGCCCA